GUCUGAGUGGCUCAGUCUGUUGAGCGUCUGACUUCAGCUCAGGUCAUGAUCUCACGGUCUGUGGGUUCGAGCCCCGCGUGGGGCU
rnacentral:tRNA from 1 species